rnacentral:lncRNA from 1 species
ACUAUAACUAACAACUCGAUGUUUGUUGGUAUAAGCUAGAUAUUUUAUGAAAUCUCAAUAUAGUGACCAUGGAGUCAAUGUUGAGAGGAAGUGUCAGAUGAUGAUAUCAUCGAUUUUGAUAUGCAUCAGAAGAACAAGCUAACAAAAGAGUUUAGCUAUUUGUUUAUUCGCCCAACAAAUCAUUGUAUAUUGUGGUUACUGCAAUAACAAUAGCAAAAGCUCCCAUGGCAUUUCUCAACAUUGAUGCAUUCAAUAUUAUCACAUGAACUUCACAAUAAGGGGGAGAGUUGAAAGUUCAUUGCUUGUCCUACUUGCACUAUGAUUCUAUUCCUAGUUUAUCAUUGUUUCCUAUUUCAGUACUACUUAAAAUAUUUUGUUCUUUAGCGCAACCAUUUUAGUUAUAUUGAGCCUUAGGCUUAAUAUAUUUGAGUUUGUUUUCAUGGAGGGUG